rnacentral:misc_RNA from 1 species
GUUCGCAAAACGGAAAUUCGAAGUUCGCGCCAAAAGUCGAACAUGAAUUUCUUCUCAAUUUUAUUUAUUUCCUUUACGCAAUAAAUAUCGCAGCCAGUUACACUUAAAAAAAAGACACUAAAUUAUUAUGUGAAAAUUCUAUAUCCUUAUAGCAUUAAUAGGUAAGAAUGAUAUUUGAGAGAUUUAGAAAUGCACUGCACUUGAUCUGGCAAAACAAGACAGGACCAGUUGUGACUCUCACCUCUCUUUGCACGAAUAUUUGGAAUGAUGGAUGGCCAUCCUGUGCCAGUCCUCAUUCAGAAUGAGGAUACAGGAGUCUUUGACUUAGAUGAAGAGGCCCUGCAGGAAGUGCUCCUUAAUCCCAAGAUUGCAGAUAAGUAUGUUUGCGUUCUUGCUGUGGCAGGAGCUUUUCGGAAGGGGAAAUCUUUCCUGCUCGACUUCCUGCUCAGAUACAUGAGUUCCCAGGUGAGAUUUGUAUAGCACAUAUUUGUCAGAACUAAUCUGUUAUGUUAUUAAAAUCGUAGUAGCUUAGAUACUGAAAUUUACUAGUUUAUUCAAUAAAAAUUAAUAAGCUAUAGAUAAUGUCAGUCCCCCAAGCUCGCUUUCUAUAUUUAUAUAUAUAU